AGUGGGGUGAAACUUGGGGAUAUGCAAGACAAAUCAGAUUUCUGAAAGGGGUACAGUAGUCUGGAAAGGUUGAGAGCCACUGCCCUGGUUGAUCCCAGGCAGAACUAGUUGCAAGAGCUCUCUUGUACAUGCACGCUCUCUAUUCCUGAGAGGAGGCAAGGGGAUCUCCUAGAGUAACUGGCUCUCCAGACUCUGAAUGCUUUAGGUAGGACGGCCAUUGCUCAACCACAAGCCCUGAAGUUGUCCUUUGUCACCUACACGCAGAGCUCAUACUUGUUCAUAGCUUAUGUUCUAAAACUCUAACAAACCUAAACCGAGGCACAGAUAUGUGGAAGGUGAUUUAAGAUGCACACGAUGCAGGAGUCACAGCUACAUGUAAUAUCAGGGGCAGUGACUGAUGCUUGAAAGCAGAUGACUAUUGUUUUGAAGAGGCCCAAUUUGGUCUAAUUUUAGAUAUUGAGUAGGAGUGAGGCUGUGUGUCUAGAUGCAUGCCACCCUGACAAUGCCUAGUUUUUACAUCUCUGUCAUGGCAACAGCUACUGGUAUCAGGUGGAGAUUUAAAAAAUAAUUUUAAAAAAAAUAUAUAAAAAAAUUAAUGCUGCAGUCCAGUGGAUUGGGCUUUGGAAUGGGACUCAGGAGAGCUGAAUUCUCUACACAGCUAUUCAGCUGACUUGCUGUGUGACCCUGAGCAAGUCUCUGUGCCUCUUUUUCCAGUUCCAGGCUUUGCUCACCUACUCUCUUUAGUCCGUAAGUCUUUUGGAUCAGAGACCCGUGCAUUUCUUGCGUGCUCACAUGGCGCUAGUGCUUUUCAAUGUUGGGCAAGAGCCCUGCUUUCAAUUCUUGCGUUUAUUUUCUGAGGACCCAGGGCUUCAGUUAAUACAACCAUCCAAAAAAGUCACAAGCCUGCAUCUAUAACAAUAUAGGCUUUAAGAACUUGUCAGUACUUUGAUGGGAAGCUUUAGAUGCUUAUAUGCAUCACUGGACGUAUGUUAUCAAGUAAUAAAAGCCCUAUUGUAAUGCUUAGGUGCCAAGAGGACACAAUUGAGGUUAAUUCUGCAUUUCCUGCCCCUAGUGCAAUUAGUGCCAACCGUGUGACAUUUUUUCAUAUAAUAGGUAUUCAUAAGAAACAAAGUAUUCGUUAAAAACACUAGGUACAUAGACUAGGUACUAAGGCCUGGUCUACAUGUACAACUUAGGUUGACCUAGCUACUUCACUCAGGGCUACAAAAAUUUCACAACUCGUACAUCUACAGUAACCCCACUGCAGGUGCAGCUAGGUCGAUGGAAGAAUUCUUCUGUCAACCUAGCUCCCGCCUCUUGAGGGGGUGGAUUUACCACAGUGAUGGAAAAACCCCUUUCAGCACUGCAGCAAGCGUCUACACUACCGUGCUACAGCAGUGCUGCUGUAAGGCUACAUCUACACUACAGCCACAAGUCAGCUUCACUCCCUCUCAGAACGUCAGUCACUCAUCAAGAAAAGCAGAGCAAGCCAGAAAAUAUAAAAAGGGUGAAGGCAAUUCCAUGCUGAGCAAAGCAGAUUUUUUUUUUUUUGAAAGCUGAUGGACUUUUGAAAUUUACAAGAGAAGAGCAAUUCAUGCUAUUACUCUUACCAAACAGCAGAGGUCUGUUCAACUUCCCAGAAUUUCAGAUUACUAAGAAACAAAAAAAACUCUACAUCUAGGCUCCCUGGAAGACUGAAAUAUAUCUUGGCAAGCAGAGGUACUCUUACUUACGUAAUACUGCAUGAGCAAAAUAAAGUUGGCUGACAGGUCACAUUUUAAUUAGACUAUAGGACUUUAUUAAGUUUCAAUAUAGAGAAGUCAAGUAAUAUUAAAAUAGCAAAAAUGCACUUGCAACCAAUAAUGCCCAUUACGAACUUUAAAUGAUAAACUCAGGAGCAUAGGAAUUGAAAUAAACAUGAAAUUCAUUUGAAAUGUAGGGCACUGUGCAUUGCUAAAUGCAACAUAUUUUACUCUUCACAAAUGCCUAUUCCUUCAGAGAGAGAAAGAAGAAAGGAAAAUAUGUUGAGAUGAACAAGCAGUCAUUGCUUGAAGCAAGAGACCUGGAAAUAAACUAGCACUCUGUGACUGGUUUCUUAGGAUGUAUUCUCUCCUCUUGAUUGGUUUGGAUUACUGCCAUCAGAGUUAAUGAAAGUCAUCUGCCCUUGUUCAGAGGAGACUAUGGCCAGAAUUUUCAAACCAGGGUGCCUACAAGUCAAAUGGAGUAUCCUCUGAAGUUAAUGGAAGCCAUAGGUGCUCAGCUUUUAAAGAUCAGAUUUCUUUUAUUCAGGACCCUAGCUUUGGACACCCAGAUUUAUAAGUGUAAGUCUCUCUGCCUAGAAGUCUAUAGUUCCACAUUUAAUGUACUACAGGCACUUUAAAAAAAAAAAGUAAGCAGUACUUUUUUACAUUUUUAUAGUUAAAACGAAGCGUGGCUGAGGCUGUUUCCUCCACACUAAUCCACUGUGUAAAAGUACAUGCUCCCUUUCUGGAUUACCAACAAGAUUCAAAAAACUGAUGUGCACAGGAACCCCCCUUCUGAACAAAGGAAUGAUGGCCUAUCCCAAACCCCAGCAGUAUUUCAGACUACAUCUGUUCAGAACCACCCAACCGCCACCGCAGCAGAUUCACGGUUCCAGUUCACUGAAUUCAUUCUCGUUGAAGCCUUAGUUGAAAGUCCCUGGGUCAACGUAAGGGUAAGCAAGGAACUCUCCCAGUUUAUUGCCUUCUGCAUCAUAA